AAGAAAGCGUAAUAGCUCACUGGUCGAGUCGGCCUGCGCGGAAGAUGUAACGGGGCUAAACCAUGCACCGAAGCUGCGGCAGCGACGCUUAUGCGUUGUUGGGUAGGGGAGCGUUCUGUAAGCCUGCGAAGGUGUGCUGUGAGGCAUGCUGGAGGUAUCAGAAGUGCGAAUGCUGACAUAAGUAACGAUAAAGCGGGUGAAAAGCCCGCUCGCCGGAAGACCAAGGGUUCCUGUCCAACGUUAAUCGGGGCAGGGUGAGUCGACCCCUAAGGCGAGGCCGAAAGGCGUAGUCGAUGGGAAACAG
rnacentral:rRNA from 1 species